GCGGACGUGGUGGAACUGGUAGACACACAGGACUUAAAAUCCUGAGACGGCAACGUCGUGUGGGUUCGAUUCCCACCGUCCGCACCA
rnacentral:tRNA from 3 species